CUCCUUUUGCACUGCAUAAGCAUGAUUGGGUUUUCAUGCUCUUGUGUGAGAUGUGCCUCCCUAAAGUGUCCUUAAGACGUUAGCACAUUACCCAUCUGCUG
ensembl:snoRNA